AUUGAACGCUGGCGGCAUGCCUUACACAUGCAAGUCGAACGGCAGCACGGGAGCAAUCCUGGUGGCGAGUGGCGAACGGGUGAGUAAUGUAUCGGAACGUGCCCAGUCGUGGGGGAUAACGUAGCGAAAGCUACGCUAAUACCGCAUACGAUCUAUGGAUGAAAGCGGGGGAUCGCAAGACCUCGCGCGAUUGGAGCGGCCGAUAUCAGAUUAGGUAGUUGGUGGGGUAAAGGCUCACCAAGCCGACGAUCUGUAGCUGGUCUGAGAGGACGACCGGCAACACUGGGACUGAGAAACGGCCCAGACUCCUACGGGAGGCAGCAGUGGGGAAUUUUGGACAAUGGGCGCAAGCCUGAUCCAGCAAUGCCGCGUGCAGGAUGAAGGCCUUCGGGUUGUAAACUGCUUCUGUACGGAACGAAACGGCGAGCUCUAAUACAGUUUGCUAAUGACGGUACCGUAAGAAUAAGCACCGGCUAACUACGUGCCAGCCGCCGCGGUAA
rnacentral:rRNA from 1 species